GUGAUCUGAGCGGCCCGGCCCAGCAGCGCGGGCCACACUGGCUCCGGGUCUCCGGGGGGCGCUCCCUUCCUGACACCAGGCUGGACACACGAGCGAAGGCCCGCGUCACCUUAUCCCUUGCCACGGCCCAGAGGGACAGCCUCGUACAGCUGCCCGGGUCGCACACUCACCGAGCCUGCCCUGAAUCCCACCACCAGGAGUCCAGCGGAGCAAUCAGGGCAGAAGGCGCAGGUGCUCCCCUCCUGUCCUUGAGUUAAUCCAGGUGCCACAACGCCCUGGGCUCAGCGAAACUUGCUUAAACCUCCCCGGAUUCUCACCCUCACCUGCUCUCCACUUCGCGAGGAGAUGGAGGCCCAAGGUGCUGAGGAGCCACCCCGUGAAAACAUCUGGUUCCCCCAGGGCCGUUGCUCUGCCCAGCACUCCAGUGUCCCUCCUCCCAGAGCUUUCCAGAGAGUCAGUGCAGGCUCUCUCCUCCCUUACUCUCUGCUUAGUAUUUUUUCUCAAAGCAAAUUUAUUUUUUUAAAUCAAAAAUAGUUUUGUUUCUGUGGUACUGGGAGCUGAACCCCGGG
rnacentral:lncRNA from 1 species